UAUGUCUGCACCAGAUUCUGUGUUAUUGAUUUCCCCGUGGUGGCCGGCCAGCUGUUCUCUGGCCAAACCCAGCCGCCGCGGGGUUUUCUAUACUCACCAGAGUCCGGUGCAAGUCCCCGCUCCGGGACCGCCACACACCAAGUCGUCCACUUUUCCCCACCUCGCGGCUCAGCGCUGACUGGUCAGAUUUCUGUGCACCGUUUAGAUUCGAAGCGCCAGAGCUCUGUACAUCUGCUCUGGUGCAGCGGUGCCGAACUGGCUUCCGCCUGGAAUCUCGAUCUGGGUCUCAGUUUCCGCAGUCCCCAAAAGCAACUCAGCUUUUCGUGUUGGGUCCACGAGUCUGUUCGUUGAUUUAAGGGCGCGGGAUUUGCAGCCUCCGGUCUCAGCACGACUUUAAAUCCUCCCGCUGUACUCUGCUUACCUAUUCUUAAUGUCUUGAUCCUUCCAUCUGUGGAUCUCUUUCCAUUCUGCCAAAGUCUGUUUCUGAAUGAUAGUAGUCAUCUUAAUUCUGCUUUUUAAAUUUUUAUAUUUUGCAUUUUUACUUAAGACAAAUCCUGAGGUAUUUAUCUUUGCAUGUCUUAUUAUUUCUGAAAAUUUUAAAGUUGUAGUUUCACGGUGCAUCCAUUUUCCUAAAAGUUACUAAACUUCAUUCUUCUUUAUGGCAGAACAGUGUUUUAGCUUGUAUAAAUAGCACAUGUUUUUUUAUCUAGUACUUUUUUGUAGGAAUAUAGGCCUCAUCUAGAUUUAGUUAUUAUGUGUAGUACUGCUAUAAAUAUGGAUACACAUAUAUUACUUUAAUAUAAUGACUUUAUUUCAAGAUGUUACUAUCAGGUGAUAGUCUGGUCAAAUGAAAUUUCUAGCUUUAAAUUCUUGAAGAACCUCAUAUAGAUUUUCAUAGUGGAUGUACUAGGAAACCUUUCCACCAACAACAUACAGUUUUUUGUUCUUUUUAUCACAUCAUGCCUCACCAGCAUUUAAUAUUUAAUUUUUUGAAGAUAGCCAUUUUUCUUGGAAUAACAUGAAAUAUCAGUGUACUUUUAAUUUGUAUUUCUAUUAUGGCUAGAAAUGCUGAAUGUUUUCAUGUGUAUUUACAGGCCAUUUGAACUUCCCCUUUCAGAAAUGUUUUUUUCAAAUUAAUCACCCAUUUUUAUUGGGCUUUUUAUUUGGGGAAGUUGAAUUUUUUAAAAAUUCCUUAUCUAUUUUCGGCAUUAUUCCUAUUUUCAAGGUAAAGCUGACAAAAAUUUCUCUAUGCCAUAGUUUGUUUCCUUUGUUGUGCAGAAAAUUUCUAGUUUGUUCUAAUUAUUGAUUCUUGAUUUUAUUUCUUGAGCAUGUUCAAAAAUUAUUUACCUAUUCUCAGUAUUUUAUUGAGGAUUUUUGCUUCUUUGUUUGUUAAACUAAUUGAGUUUCAGUUUGUUGGAGACAGAAGAAUUUUUACCUGGUUUGACAAUCAAGAAAUGCUAGCUUUUAGGAAUUACUUGGGAAAUCUUCCUUCCUUUUUAAUUUAAGAAAAUGUUUAAGGAGUACUAAGAAGAUGUUUAUUGAAGUUCUUGUAGCAUUCAGAGGUAAAUCUACAGGGUGUUUCAUUUUUCUUAGUUGGUAGGUUUGGAUUUUUUUUUUCUAUUGCUGCCAAAAUUUAAUUCUCUUUUAUUGAACUUUUCAGAUAUUUAUAUCUUCUUGAUUCAGUGCUAGUAAUUCAUCUAUGUCUAGAAAUCUAUUUUUACUAGAGUCUCAAGUGUAUUUGAACAUAGAUUUGAAAGUAUUUACUAAAAAUCUUCUGGACUUUUAUGAUAUGACAUGAUUUUUCCUUCUUAUUUUCUAUCUAAGUUGGUGAGUGCUUUCCUUGUUUUGAAAAGUUUGAUUAGAAGUUUAUCUGUUCUAUUACUCUUCUAACAUAACCAUUAUCUAUUCUUACAUUUUUGCAUCAGCUUUAUAUAUGUGAGCCAUGAUCUUUGUAAUUGUUUUCUUUAUUAGUUUGAAAUUGGACUGUCCUCUGGAUCUUUCUAGGACCUUGAGUACAUCAAAUCAUUUAUUUUGGCUUAUGCUGUUUCUCAAAUCUGAUUUGUCUACUUGUGAAAAUGGGGUACUGAUUUCCCUCUACUGAUUUUUAUCUAUCUGUGAGUGUUCAAGAAACUGAGUAUACGGCAAUUUGGUUUGGACAACAGUAUCUCAUGGAACUUGAAGCUAUUUAUUAGUUGUCUCACCCAAAAUGAUACGGAGCUGAUUCAUGUCUUUGUCAUGUCCUGACACAAAACUGGCAUCUAUGACUGGUUUAAGACAAGAAAUUAAUGUGACCAAAAGAAUUGGGAGAAGAAAACUCAUGAGUCUCAUUCCCAUGUGUAAUCCAUGAUACUGAUUGGUGCUACAGGUGUGCAUGUUUAGGAGAUUAAUGGAUAACUUCCAAUGUUUAAUUUUUGAUUGUUUGUUUUAUAUGUGCAGUACCAUGCAUUAUUCAAAUCUAACAUAAACGAAAUAGUUCUUAUACAAGUAUUUAAUGACUCAUCAGAGUCAUCAAAAUAUUUGAGAUCAGCAAGAAAAGAUAAUACCAUGAAAAGAUUUAAGAGCAGAGCAACUAUUUAAAAGAAAGCAGAGAGGUAUAUAAUUAAAAAUGAAAAGAAUUGUUUAAAUUUUGAAGUGAAUCAGUUGAUGAGCAUUUACAAAAUCCAAAUGAUUACAGCAUAUCAAUGAGAGGAAAUAGGUGAUCUAAUGUGGCAAAGUACAGUAAAGAACUGCAGUGAAAACUUGUAAAACAUGUAACAUGUAACCAACAUGGAAGUAGAAAACAAGACAUGUAAGUAUAUAAGUAAAUAUAAUAUUGAUCAAACUGAUAUUUGUUGAGAGCUUUAUGUAUAACUGUAUUAGGUUUUCCAUGUAUUUUCUUCUCCACACUUUCAUGGAUGAGUACAAACUGGAUUUUCUCCUAGUUAUAUCUGUCCACACAGGUGGAGAUGUUCAUCACGGGAGAUAAAUUCAUCAUAAGCCGGAGUAACAUGUUAGCAAAUAAGAGCAAUUUAAUAAACUUGACUGAUUGUCUCUCUGCACCACAGGCUACCUAUUCUAACAAACAAAUUUGAGUGAACUAUUUAAGUUAUUUUCAUGUCCUGGAAUCAUUUCCUAAGUUUCUACCUGCAAUUAAAUUUAUACCUGGUAUUAUAGGUAUGAAUAGUAUUUAGAUGGAUGAAAAUGUACCUAUUUACUUGAAAAUGAAGAAACUAGUAUAAAACAAAGUUUAAAAGAUUAAUAUAAUCAGUAACCUACUGUUGUAAAGAUUAUAAAACAUAAAAAUUUGGAGAUAUAUUUUCAAAUUAUAGAACAAUGUAUUUUUCAGAAAAAAAAUUUAAUAUAUGUUAGAAUUAUAUAUUAUUACUAACCAAAAUGUGAUUUCAAAUAUUUGAGUGUAUUAUUUAAAUUAAAUAAAAUUUCAAAGUGCAUUACUUGUACCUUGAUAGAAUAUAAUUUUAUCAGUAUUUGUCUAUAUGUAGUGAACACAAUUCCAACAUGGGACAUAAAAAAGUAUAUCAUACAGAAAGAUAAAUUGCAACAAUAUUUAAUGUAUUCAAACAAAAUAAUUACAGCCCAGAAGUUAUAAAAUUAUUUAUAUGUAUGAUAAAAUGGAAAAUGAAAACUAAUGAAAUAUUAAGAAUGGUAAAGCAGAAAUUAAAAAUAUUUGUAGGUACCAAAAUUGUUGGAACAGAAAAUUCCCAAUUGAAAUUAUUUUCCAAAAACACACUGAUAAAAUAAGAAAAAAAAGAAAGAGAUAGUUUAUGGCUUCAUUUGGAGAGUCUGUGAUUCAAAUAUGAUGCAGGAUACUAAUGAUGUUUCUGAAGAGCAGUCAUUAUAAUUGUAAAACUCAUAUAAAACUACAGGAAAAAAUAGGAUGUUUGAUGGUAUUGAAAUGCUUAAAAUAAUUUCAUAAAUAAACAUUAUACACUGAUACAAUCCUUAUUUUCAGUGCUGAAGAUGAAAUUUUGGUUAUUGCAAAUGCUCACAUUCUGGGCAAGUACUUUGUCACUGAAGUACACUCCCAUCCUGUGAUAUCACUUUUAAAUAAAAAUGACAGUAUGAUAUUUAAUGUUGUAAAUAUUAUACAAAAAAGAAUUCACUUGUUUUAUGUAUCUUGAAAUAGAUGUAUAUGGAUACAGAAAAUCAGUCUGAUUUAAUUUAUAACAUUCUUUAGCAUGUAAUAAGUAAAUGUUAAAAACGUUUAAAGAUAAAUGACUUAAAAUAAUACUAGAGCAUACAGAAUACUGUAGAGUAAAUCCAGCUUUGUUUGACAACAAAGCAGUUCAAAUUGCCAACGCAGUUCCCUAUAUAAUACAUUAUUUUCUGAAAAGCAAGAGAGAAGUCUAUUACACAUUAUACGAACUUUCCAUUUUGUUGUUUGAAAGCACAUUUCAGUUUAAUUUUUCAUUCAGAAUCUUGCUAAUUGUGGGUAUAGUGUGAAUCAUUAUAUGUUUGAAUAUGCUAGUAUGAUAGUUACUGACUGUGUCAACUUGGGUGAGAAACACCCAAUUAAAUUCCACCAGUGUAACUCUGAGUGUGGGGGAAGGAAUUUUCUGAAGAGUGAAGACACACCGUGGGCAGAGCCACGCUAAUUGUAGGCUUUUCCCUCUAGUGGAAUCAAAGGCAAGGAAAGAAGCUUCUGUUUCUUCGGUGGAGCUCGUCUCUACCUUCACUUUGGACAUCUUUACUGGUGUCCAUCACAGGACUUUACCCUUCUGAUACAGACUGGCAGGGUGAGCUCCAGGUCUUUGAGUGGUCCUGCAGACCUCCUGCACCUGGGCAGCCCUUUUGCCCUCUGCCACAACUGUUUCUGUGGGCGGUAAUUCUAAACCAACCUUACAAAUGCUUAGAUAUUUGUAUUUAUUGCAUUAAAUAUGUUUCUCAUAUAAGUA